UACGGAGGAUGCGAGCGUUAUCCGGAUUUAUUGGGUUUAAAGGGUGCGUAGGCGGACUGUCAAGUCAGCGGUAAAAUUGAGAGGCUCAACCUCUUCCCGCCGUUGAAACUGGUGGUCUUGAGUGGAUGAGAAGUACGCGGAAUGCGUGGUGUAGCGGUGAAAUGCAUAGAUAUCACGCAGAACUCCGAUUGCGAAGGCAGCGUACCGGCAUCCAACUGACGCUGAGGCGCGAAAGCGUGGGGAGCAAACAGG
rnacentral:rRNA from 1 species